AUCCCUUAGCAUCCACGGAACUUAUGCCAAUAUACCUUUUACCAUGCAAAAGCUGUUGAGGUCACUGGAUGGAAUUUUGUUCCUAGAAACACUAACCACACUGCACAUAAGUUGGCUAGAUUUGCGACUAAACAUACAGUUGAUGGUUUUUGGAGAGGUAAUUCACCUCCUGAUGUUUUGCACGAACUGAUGUUAAGCUAAUCUACCUUUUUCUUUCUCUCAAAAAUUAGUUCGAUCACAUAAUUCAUUAAAGACUAACAAUGAGUAACAGAACACCAAAUAUCACAAAGAUCAAACCCACAAAGUUGAUUCACAUAAACAAAACUGCUUGCUACCAAUAGAAAGCUGCAAGAAUUAUAUUUCAAUCAACCAGGACAAAAUCAGGGAAUUAAAAUAUUAGAAGAUUAGAAGGAUAUGGUAUAGCAUGCGCAUACAAACAUUUGGAUAUCUAGAGUGUUAAGCUUGAAGUCCAUCAAGGGUAUUAAAGCCUCGAUCCCAUCAUCCAAAAUCAGUAAUGGAGGUUUCAAAUUGAAUAUCCACAUUGUUAAAUAUGAUCUGCAACAUUUGAAAGCCUAGAAAUGAAAAAAAACAAAACAAAACUAUAUAAAACAUUCUAACAUACCCAUGAAAAAAAUGUCAUGAUUUGGUCUCAUGGGAUAUUAGUCUAUCAACCUCAUUUGAUUUAAAUCAUUGAUCAAAAUAUUUCAGCUUAAAUUGAUAAUAAUACACUUGAAUAAAUCUUUAUAUCUUUAUAAAUCAAUCUAAGUGUUAUCCACUUUCAAUGUGAGACUAAUCGGAGUGUUAGAAAAAUAAUAUAUCAAACUUCACUGUACUUUCAUCUAAAGAUUUCGAAAUCAUGUCCAGUCAUUUAAAUCGAUGAAACAAUCUAAGAUCACAGUACUCUAAUGUAUCGAUGCUUCUUACAACAUAUUUUAUUAGUUUCAUAAACAAUCAAUUUUAUUUUUUUAUAUGUCGAAUUGCUACCGUAACUUGCACAUUAUGUAUGAUUAAAAAAUCACCUAUAUCAUGCCAGGUACUCAUCUCCGCUUCCAUCAAAUCAUACUUGUAAACUAAUUCCAGGAAACGUAGAUGACAAAAUAUGCGUAUGUAAAUAAAAAUGUGUUACCUUGUGAGUACAGACAAAAAGCAAGAGAGACAUACCCGCAUCCUCAACCACAAAAGAUAAUCCCAAACAAUGCGAAAAAAGGGCCUCCGCCGCUCGCCGCAGCCGCCGGCCACGAUGAAGUACAACCCGCGUGUGUCAGGCUCCCGGUGGAAGUGCCGGAAGGAGCACUUCACUGCUC
rnacentral:lncRNA from 1 species